rnacentral:tRNA from 1 species
AGUGAUGUGGCUGAUAUAAGGUAAUAAAUUGUAAAUUUAUUAAUGAAUUAAUAAUUUCAUUACUA